AAAAAGAAGAAAAGACCUGGUGAAUGACAAUGGAGAAAUGUUAAGAUGGUGGGGGUGUGAGACAGAGCUUGAGAGGUAGAAAUGUAUUUCAUAGUCAUGGGAUUAGUGACACUCAUUAGAGUGAGAAUGUUCUACCCACAUGGUAUAUUGUAUCUUGUUUUCUUUGUUAAAGAAAUAAGUUUCUCAGGCCUGCACCAUUUCUUCCUGUUCAUUGAACAUUUGCUUCUACUUCAGCUAGUCUCAAGAUCUCAUCCUGGGAAGAGAUGAAAUAUCCUUGAUGGAAAGCACUUUAGCACAAAACAUAGCCAAAUUCAAAAUAAAAAUAAAUAUACAAUCUCAUCAAUCAGUACCUCAGUGACAAUAAUGGCUCAAUUCAUGUCAGUAUUGAGUCCCAUGAAUGUAUGCUGUUAAGAGGUAUAGCCACUUCGAAGUCUUGGGACAGACUGAAGAUCUCACUGGAAAGUUCAACAAAAUAGAUUGACCGAUCCCAUUUUGGCAAAAUGAAAGUCAAUGGCCUCAUCCUUCAGAUUUGCCUAAAUCUGGAGCUCCUGUGAUGGAAAUCCACAGGCUACAAGUUGGGCUGCAUGACUGAGAUGCUUUGGGACCAGAAUUCAUGCUCAAUGACAUCUCAGUUGCUGGAUGCAGAAAACAAAGAAUAACAAAAAAGAAUGUCAAUUCUGUAAAACACAGAGGAGCGAUUGAAGGAAAACAAAAUCAAAAUCUUAUUUUCUUUUAAGUUAUCUUGAUAUAUGGAGAGUCAUGGCUUUUCAUCAAUCCCGUGAGUUUAGCAAUAUUACUCCACAGUGUCUAAUAGUCAAUUUUGUUUCUGAUUUUCUUUUAUUAAUAAAAGAAGGAAAGUUG